rnacentral:misc_RNA from 1 species
GCCUUUAAUAACAGUGAUAAAAAUAAAUAAACAUAUUAUUUUAUAAAAUUUAUUGUCUAAAAAAAGAUUUUUAAUGGGUCAAUUUACUUUGGGCCUAAAUAUUUUACAAAAUUUACUUCAUUGCAUAAGGGUUGGGCUUUCAUUUAUGGCCCAUAAAUUAUGGGCCAAUUCGCUUUCCAUUGACCGGGUCAAUGGUUCAACUGGCCAAGUCACUGGAUUUUCACUAUUUAUCCGGUUCAACUGAAAACCCAGUCCGUUUAGUGUCCAGGUGAUUAAUAACACAGAUCCAUAAGACUAAAGAUCCAAGCAAAUGUUUGCAUAAGACCAGCCAGGAAACUGUGAAUGGGCAGUUGAGCUCCAACCUUGGUGAGGGAAAGUUUGGACAGAAGUCAUCAACAAUAACAUGUAUUUGAUAUGAUUAUAGAAAAGGAUACUGAUGACUUAAAAGGGCCUCUUGCCAUAACAUAAAAU